rnacentral:rRNA from 1 species
CCUACGGGUGGCUGCAGUGGGGAAUAUUGGACAAUGGGCGAAAGCCUGAUCCAGCCAUGCCGCGUGUGUGAAGAAGGCCUUCGGGUUGUAAAGCACUUUAAGUGGGGAAGAAAGCCUUGGGGCUAAUACCCUCGAGGAAGGACAUUACCGACAGAAGAAGCACCGGCUAACUCCGUGCCAGCAGCCGCGGUAAUACGGAGGGUGCGAGCGUUAAUCGGAAUUACUGGGCGUAAAGCGCGCGUAGGCGGUCUGAUAAGUCGGUUGUGAAAGCCCCGGGCUCAACCUGGGAACGGCAUCCGGAACUGUCUGGCUAGAGUACAGGAGAGGGAGGUAGAAUUCCCGGUGUAGCGGUGAAAUGCGUAGAUAUCGGGAGGAAUACCAGUGGCGAAGGCGACCACCUGGACUGAUACUGACGCUGAGGUGCGAAAGCGUGGGUAGCAAACAGGAUUAGAUACCCGAGUAGUC